GGACUAAUAUGUCGGUCGUGCCUCGGUACGUACUGGCAUCGUUGGUUUCUCCUUUCUGAAGAACCAUGAUGUCAUUUAUUUGGUGUCGUGGGGAAUCAGGACUGUUACCUUGAAAAAAUUAGAGUGUUUAAAGCAGGCUCACGCUUGAAUACAUUAGCACGGAAUAAUGAAAUAGGACGUUUGAUUCUAUUUUGUUGGUUUCUAGGAUCGACGUAAUGAU
rnacentral:rRNA from 1 species